GUUGAACGCUGGCGGCAGGCCUAACACAUGCAAGUCGAGCGGAUGAAGGGAGCUUGCUCCUGGAUUCAGCGGCGGACGGGUGAGUAAUGCCUAGGAAUCUGCCUGGUAGUGGGGGAUAACGUCCUGAAACGGGCGCUAAUACCGCAUACGUCCUGAGGGAGAAAGUGGGGGGUCUUCGGACCUCACGCUAUCAGAUGAGCCUAGGUCGGAUUAGCUAGUUGGUGGGGUAAAGGCCUACCAAGGCGGCGAUCCGUAACUGGUCUGAGAGGAUGAUCAGUCACACUGGAACUGAGACACGGUCCAGACUCCUACGGGAGGCAGCAGUGGGGAAUAUUGGACAAUGGGCGAAAGCCUGAUCCAGCCAUGCCGCGUGUGUGAAGAAGGUCUUCGGAUUGUAAAGCACUUUAAGUUGGGAGGAAGGGCAGUAAGUUAAUACCUUGCUGUUUUGACGUUACCAACAGAAUAAGCACCGGCUAACUUCGUG
rnacentral:rRNA from 1 species